rnacentral:rRNA from 1 species
AUUAGAUACCCGUGUAGUCCCAGCCGUAAACAAUGUGCGUUAGGUGUGUCGGUAACCACGCGUUACUGAUGCGCCGAAGAGAAAUCGUGAAACGCACCACCUGGGAAGUACGGUCGCAAGGCUGAAACUUAAAGGAAUUGGCGGGGGAGCACCACAACAGGUGGAGCCUGCGGUUUAAUUGGAUUCAACGCCGGACAUCUCACCGCGAUAAGACAGCUGUAUGAUUGUCAAUCUGAAGGUUUUACAUGACUAGCUGAGAGGUGGUGCAUGGC